UACGUAGGGUGCAAGCGUUAAUCGGAAUUACUGGGCGUAAAGCGUGCGCAGGCGGUUGUGCAAGACCGAUGUGAAAUCCCCGGGCUUAACCUGGGAAUGGCAUUGGUGACUGCACGGCUAGAGUGUGUCAGAGGGGGGUAGAAUUCCACGUGUAGCAGUGAAAUGCGUAGAGAUGUGGAGGAAUACCGAUGGCGAAGGCAG
rnacentral:rRNA from 1 species